rnacentral:rRNA from 1 species
UACGGAGGAUGCGAGCGUUAUCCGGAUUUAUUGGGUUUAAAGGGUGCGUAGGCGGCGAGUUAAGUCAGCGGUAAAAGCCCGGGGCUCAACCCCGGCCCGCCGUUGAAACUGGCUGGCUUGAGUUGGGGAAAGGCAGGCGGAAUGCGCUGUGUAGCGGUGAAAUGCAUAGAUAUCGCGCAGAACCCCGAUUGCGAAGGCAGCCUGCCGGCCCCACACUGACGCUGAGGCACGAAAGCGUGGGUAGUCGAACA